rnacentral:rRNA from 1 species
GUCUGCAUGGAGCCGGCCUUGAAAUACCACCCUUUAAUGUUUGAUGUUCUAACGUGGACCCGUAAUCCGGGUUGCGGACAGUGUCUGGUGGGUAGUUUGACUGGGGCGGUCUCCUCCUAAAGAGUAACGGAGGAGCACGAAGGUUGGCUAAUCCUGGUCGGACAUCAGGAGGUUAGUGCAAUGGCAUAAGCCAGCUUGACUGCGAGCGUGACGGCGCGAGCAGGUGCGAAAGCAGGUCAUAGUGAUCCGGUGGUUCUGAAUGGAAGGGCCAUCGCUCAACGGAUAAAAGGUACUCCGGGGAUAACAGGCUGAUACCGCCCAAGAGUUCAUAUCGACGGCGGUGUUUGGCACCUCGAUGUCGGCUCAUCACAUCCUGGGGCUGAAGUAGGUCCCAAGGGUAUGGCUGUUCGCCAUUUAAAGUGGUACGCGAGCUGGGUUUAGAACGUCGUGAGACAGUUCGGUCCCUAUCUGCCGUGGGCGCUGGAGAACUGAGGGGGGCUGCUCCUAGUACGAGAGGACCGGAGUGGACGCAUCACUGGUGUUCGGGUUGUCAUGCCAAUGGCACUGCCCGGUAGCUAAAUGCGGAAGAGAUAAGUGCUGAAAGCAUCUAAGCACGAAACUUGCCCCGAGAUGAGUUCUCCCUGAGACUUAGAGUCUCCU